GACUGUUGAUUUGGUGAGACAAACAGGCCAUCAGUGUGGCAUGUCAGAGAAGGCAAUUGAAAAAUUUAUCCGACAGCUGCUGGAAAAGAAUGAACCUCAGAGGGGGCCACCCCAGUAUCCUCUCCUGAUAGCUACGUAUAAGCCCAUUACCACCCGAACCAGUGCUUUCUGGAUCUCACACCUGGUGCUCACUCAUCCAUCACAUUCGGCUGAUGUCCUUGCCAAUUACCAAGAAGUACAUGCCAGAAAAUAAGGGAGUUCCUCUGCAUGGGGGUGAUGAAGACAGACCCUUUCCAGACUGAGAAACUGAGGCUCAGAAAGAUUGAGAAACUUGCCAGAAAAACACUUCUGGGGAAGUCUAAUUCAACCCCCCCCCCACGCCACCCCCCCCCACCAUGCCAAAGCACAACAUGGUGGAGAUGUUUUUGUUUAUAGGAGGAAUCUGAAUGUGUCUUAGUCUACCCUUUUCUCUCCCAUGCUCCCUAUCCAUAAUAGGCAUUUUAAUAA